GGGCGGUGACUGGCCAAAAACUACAGACAGAACGUCAGCUCAGACGCACAUUCAGCUGCCUCAGCCACACCAAAUAUUUAGAGGCCUAUCCAAGGCAACUAACCGUGAUGGCUACGCUCAGCCUCCUCGGUUUGGGGGAGCAAUGUUUCUGAAAGAAGUUGUAAGAAGCUGCAGGUGGGGAGAGUGUUCCUACGACUCCCAAAAGGAUUACAAAAACCACAGAGCUAUUAAAAGAAGUGUCGUCAUACCAAUUUGUUACUGAUCAGUAGAGCACUUCAUUGUAAUGCAACAGAUUAAUAUAGAAUGUGCAGACAGACACAAUGGAGAACAUCAGCUGCAUCUCUUCUUCCAGAAGUGAGUUUGCAUUAAUCAUUGAGAUCAGGAAGCCUGUCACAUUGUGAGGAGUUUUAUUUUCUACCCCACAUUUCAAUAAUUAGUACUGCAAAACCAUCAUCUUAACAGAAUGAAAUAAAUAAAUAAAAGUGUUAGUUC